UAGGGAAUCUUCGGCAAUGGGGGGAACCCUGACCGAGCAACGCCGCGUGAGUGAAGAAGGUUUUCGGAUCGUAAAGCUCUGUUGUUAAGGAAGAACGAGUGUGAGAAUGGAAAGUUCAUACUGUGACGGUACUUAACCAGAAAGGGACGGCUAACUACGUGCCAGCAGCCGCGGUAAUACGUAGGUCCCGAGCGUUGUCCGGAUUUAUUGGGCGUAAAGCGAGCGCAGGCGGUUAGAUAAGUCUGAAGUUAAAGGCAGUGGCUCAACCAUAGUAGGCUUUGGAAACUGUUUAACUGGAGUGCAGAAGGGGAGAGUGGAAUUCCAUGGGUAGCGGUGAAAUGCGUAGAUAUAUGGAGGAACACCGGUGGCGAAAGCGGCUCUCUGGUCUGUAACUGACGCGGAGGCUCGAAAGCGUGGGGAGCGAACAGG
rnacentral:rRNA from 1 species